AGUAUAAUAUCAUUACUUCAAAAAUGGCGUUCGUAUAGGAAGUGUGCGUUGUUAAUUUUUUGUUUGUUUUAAAUGUAAAUUUUAAAUACUGUUGACUUAAAAAUAAGACGACAAUGGGUAGGUCGCCUAGCCCUCGGCGGCGCGACGACAGACGCCGCGAAGACAGGCGAGAGAGGGAGAGACGGCGCCCUCGGACCAGAUCUCGGUCCCGCUCCCUGGACCGGCGGAGACGCAGCCCCGACAGACGCAGGUCUCCGUCACCGCGCCGCCGCCGAUCGAAUUCGCCCUCGCCGAUACCGAGCACCUCAUUCGUGAGACAAAAGAAACCGAUCGGAGAACGCCCCAUUAUAACACCGGCAGACUUAGAAGGAAAAACUCCGGAGGAACAGGAAAUGUUAAAGGUUAUGGGCUUUUGCGGUUUCGACACAACGAAAGGUAAGAAAGUCGAUGGUAAUGUUGAAGGGGACGUACAUGUGGUAUUGAAACGGAAAUACAGACAGUACAUGAACCGGAAGGGCGGAUUCAACAGGCCACUAGACUUCGUAGCUUAAAUACCCGAUGACUGUCCAAUUGUUUCGAGUAUGGGCUGCUGCGGCAGAUGAGUUGACUCCUGAGGACUGCAGUAAUAGAAUUUAUUAGGAGCUCGUAUUUGGAUAGAUUGACACGCCACUGCUGUCAUAUCACUUGGUGUAUUAAUAGAUUUGUUUUUACCAUUUCCCGAGAAGACUAUUUCCAAUCUCUCUAAGGUCAAGAUUGGCUUAUAUAUAAAUCAAUUGUUAGGUAUGUUUCGUGAAAAACUUUAAUUGACUUUACAUUUUACUAAUGGUUUUUCUGUAAGUGAAAAUAACAUUUAAACUAUAAAUAUGUUGAGAAUGACCAACAGUGAUUAGACGAGGUACCCCAAAAUGAUUAUUACCCUCAUGUUGUCAUCUAUCAUUGUGCAUGCAAACAGAUAAAGUAUUGCUCCGACCGCAUAGUAAGAUUACUGGCACAAAUACACCAAGUGACAUGUUAGUAAAAAUAUAUUUAACAGUACAAGUGCUUCCCAGGCAAAAUGCCACAAAUUUAAUGGCACGCAGUCAUGUUUCUGAGCAUCAGUACGUAAAUAAUUUUUUUUAUAUGUACUGUGAGUCAUUUAUUAAUUUUGGUGACAUCAGAGUCUUACGUGAAAACAAUGAAAUACCCAUACUCUUACAAUUAGACCGUCAUCUCACACUGUCGUCUUUUUUUUUUCGGGAUCAACGCACACACGACCUGCAGGGUCUUGGGUUUUUUUAUAUAUUACAUAUUGUGAUACAAAAUUGACCUUAUUGUAUGAAUGUAUGUAUAAUUUGUUCAUAAAUACAGGGAUAAUAAGCAUUUAAUGGAAACUAAAAACUUUUGAACUCAUUCAAGAGGUUAAAGUAUCAUUAAGGUAUAUUUGACAAGAUGUAGAAUAGCUGUCAUACAGUUUUGCUACAAUAAUAUCGGUUAUACUAAGCGACAUGACAUUGGCAAGGAUUGUAGCUGACAGAAACCGCUUCCCAUAACAUGGCCUGAAUUUACUUCAAAUUUCUGAAUGACGCAUCAUGUGAGCUGGGAAGGAAGGGUACAUCAUAUCAGUCCACCGAUUUCUGUAUUACAUUUCAUUUUGACAAGUGAGACAGUUAUAUCAUACAAUUGAGCUUAACCUCUCAAGAUGGGGGCGGUAUUCACGUGGAGAUGUUUAAUAGCUACGAUGAAUUUGUAAUAAGUGAUGGUGACAUUUUUGCCCAUUAAUGGACUGUAAACCGUUAAUAAUUGAGUACACAUUUUGAGCUUUGGUGCUAUUUCUCCAAGCUCAGUUUAAUUUGACCUAAAUGAUUAUUAUUCAUACAUUCAUACAAUAAUGAAUCAAUACACUGCUAUUUUUAGUAUGUAAGUGUUGUCUGUUUUCUUUUAUACGAACAGAAAAGCAUUUAUGUGUGUAUAUAGCCAUUAAAAUAUUUUAUGAAUCAUUUGAGUAUUAAAUUUUCAAAGAAGCCAUUUUUGUUUCUUAUCAAAUCAAUAUAUUCAAAUAUUCUUUUGGCUAUGUACACAUUCCCAAUUGUUUUUAUGCCUUGUCACUAUUAAAAAGAAUAUCAGAAUAGAACUAUCGAAUUCCCAUAAAGUUCUGCUUGAUACUGAACAUUAUUUGGAAAUGCCUCGAUACAAUUAAUUUUCAUUAUCAAUAUUAUAAGAUGAGCCAUAUUGAGUUUCGGGGAAAAUCUUAAUUCGUUGCGGUAACACUGAUCAGUUUUCUCAGAUAAACUACCUAGACUGAUAUAUGUAUUUAAUGGGUUUGGGAACACCAUCGGACCAUGAAAUCUGGAACUGAUCUAGAAGUUUAUUUAAAACAGAACUGUAGUAUUUCAUGUCGGUUUGGCUGUAUGUACACAGUAUUAAAAAUUUGGAGUGUGUUUGAGGGUUGUAAUUUUACUGAAAAUAAUUAGAAAUUUUGUUUGUUUUCAAUCAAGUGACAAGGCAUUGCUAGUUGUAUAUGUGAUAGUUUAAUGUCCGUUACAUUCAGUACCCGCGCGCUGCUAACGCCCGCGCGGGCCCGGCUCCCCACACCAUGAAGCCGACUUGAAUCGUUCUCACGACAACACGUAAUGGUUCCCCUGAUGCGUUUUGGAACGUGUUGACAGGAAUUUUGAACGUAAAAUGCGAAGGUUUUUUUGACGUGACAACGUCUUAUAAUUCGAUGGAGCCGGCUGCACGCACGAAAAAACAUGACUCGUGCGGCGUUACCUCGCUCCGAGGUGUUCCGCGAUCACGUGGCUAAACUAAAAAAAAAGUUUUUUCUUAUGACGCUGUCACGUUCAACUAUUGUCAGUAAACCGACUUUACAGACAAUAGUUUACAUAUAAACGCGGUCCUAGGAAUGGCUUUUUGUUUGUGUCAUCGAAAGAGACAAAACAAGGCUAACUUAAGGUCGGUGUAUACGUAACGAGAUGUGAAUGGGACGGGUACUCGGAUCUAACGUGCUAGUGUUGUGAACAAGGAUAGAUAGAAUUGGCUUUAAUUGCUACUGCUCUAGAUGAGGAAGUAGCUCCUAUCUUACGUGGUAGAAUAGAGAACAAUAAGGAGAAUACCACAUUAUAAAGAACUUUUGAAUGAUGAGACUCAAUUUUAUCAGUUUUUUUGCCAAAUGCCAAAAUAAUGUUUUGCUUUACUGGAAAAUAUCAUCGUCAAGACGUCACUAAUUCUAUCUCCGGAACGAAUAGAGUGACUGUGCAUACGAAAUAUCCUCUUUCAUAUUAAUUUAGUAUGAACCCAUCCCGUCCGUAUAGAACUUGUGACGUAUGCAGCGAUCUUUAACCUAGAAGAUUUUAUUACGUGUCAACAACAAAGGCGCGCUAACACGAAAAAAACGCGCGGGAACUUUCUAUAAGACUGAUAGUUCGUUGUAUUUUUUUUUUCGACCUCGUCCGCCGACCGAACCAAAUAGGAUAUAAUAUAGAUAUAUUUAUAUACACAAUACAUACACACACACAUUCCCCCCGGUUUUACCCGUGUCCUCCAUAGACUACAAUAGCGCGGCCCGCCAAUACAGAUUGUUGUGUUCGAAAACGGAGAACUUUCGCGGUGAACUCAUCGGAACUAUCGGCUGUAGCAACGUUAACGUAAGACUAAAAUUUCUUGAUAACUCUGUUGAAUACUGGCUAAAAUUCGAAAAUAAACAUCACAUAAGCAAAGUAAAAAAAAAAAAAACAAUAUGGCCGCCGAUUCACAAAAGUGACAUUUGUAAUGUCACUUGAAAUUUUUAGUUCCGUCUGUGGUUUGUCACGUUUUUUUUUUUUUCGUCUUUCGAGAACACAGCAGUCUGCGUUGUUGGUGCCUUCAAUAGUUUACCGAUAUAUACAAUUGUUAUUUUUUUACAAUAAUAUAUAAGCACGUACGCGGUCGGCGGACGGGCGAUUGACGAAGGUUGCAGCGAAAACGAUUCAAAUCGGCUUGUCACGACAUCCGCAUUGAUACGAAUGAAUCCAGCACAAUAUAUGUUUUGUACGAAUUUUUUACAGUCGAAAGCUCAAAAUUACGAGCUUUACUUUAAUAAUACAAAUAAAUCUUGAAAUUUUUUCUAAUGAGCAAUAACUUCAUGAGGGUAUUUGAAUAAAAGCUUUCUUAUAUCCAUCUGUGAUUGUGGUUUGGAAAUGCGUAAUAAUUUUUCACGCCUAUAAAUGUAUUAUCUUGAGGCUGUAUGUGCAAAAAAACUGCACCUAAAAAAAAAGUUGAUUGACAUUGACUUGUUUAUCAAAUUUGAAAAUUUUAAACCUAUUUUUUCAAUCGAGUUUUCUUCAUGGCUAGUUUUUUUGUACAAUCAAAAACUAUCGUUAAGUACAUAGUUGAUUUGGCAGUUAAUGUCGAGAAUAUUUUUUAUUUUUACUGUCAUUAUGUUUAAAAAAGAACCUUAGCUUUUUGGUUGGUUUGAAAAUUGUAAAAACCAAUUUCAGCAAAAGUCAAACAAAACAAAAAGAACAAUGUAAUCUUUGAAAUGUUUGGUAAAAACGAUUCAUUCCCACGUGUAAAUACCACGUUUUAUUGUACGAAAUUAGGGUUUGUUUUUUAAGAAUAAAAUUAAUUUUAAACUCUAAAUUGAUGUAAUUUUUUGAUUGAUGUAAAAACUGUUUCCUUGGCUUUUAGUUUAAGAUAGUUGAAAUUUAUGAUCUGUAUGUAUGUAUUUUUAUUUACACAAUAUUUCUGUUUCGCCAAGGAAGUUAUGUGAAAAUAAAUGGUUUGAAAAUUA